rnacentral:rRNA from 1 species
AGAGUUUGAUCCUGGCUCAGAGUGAACGCUGGCGGCGUGCCUAAGACAUGCAAGUUGAACGUGAACGCACCUUCGGGUGUUAGUAGAGUGGCGCACGGGUGAGUAACACUUGGGUAACCUACACUUCAGAGGGGGAUAACCCCGGGAAACCGGGGCUAAUACCGCGUACGCCUUAUCUUUCUGCGGUUAGAUAAGGGAAAGCUUUUGCGCUGAAGGAUGGGCCCGAGCCCGAUUAGUUUGUUGGUGGGGUAACGGCCUACCGAGACUACGAUUGGUAGCUGGUCUGAGAGGAUGAUCAGCCACACUGGUACUGGAACACGGACCAGACUCCUACGGGAGGCAGCAGUUAGGAAUUUUGCGCAAUGGGGGAAACCCUGACGCAGCAACGCCGCGUGAGUGAAGAAGGCCUUCGGGUUGUAAAGCUCUUUCGAUAGGGAAGAAAAAAAUGACGGUACCUAUAGAAGAAGCACCGGCUAACUCCGUGCCAGCAGCCGCGGUAAUACGGAGGGGACUAGCGUUGUUCGGAAUUACUGGGCGUAAAGCGUACGUAGGCGGAUCAGAAAGUAAGGGGUGAAAUCCCAGGGCUCAACCCUGGAACUGCCUCUUAAACUCCUGGUCUUGAGUUCGAGAGAGGUGAGUGGAAUUCCGAGUGUAGAGGUGAAAUUCGUAGAUAUUCGGAGGAACACCAGUGGCGAAGGC